rnacentral:rRNA from 1 species
AUUGAACGCUGGCGGCAUGCUUUACACAUGCAAGUCGAACGGUAACAGGCCUUCGGGUGCUGACGGGUGGCGAACGGGUGAGUAAUGCAUCGGAACGUACCCAGAGGUGGGGGAUAACGCAGCGAAAGCUGUGCUAAUUCCGCAUGUGAUCUGAGGAUGAAAGCGGGGGACCGAGCAGCAAUGUUUGGCCUCGCGCCUUUGGAGCGGCCGAUGUCGGAUUAGCUAGUUGGUGGGGUAAAGGCCUACCAAGGCGACGAUCCGUAGCUGGUCUGAGAGGACGACCAGCCACACUGGGACUGAGACACGGCCCAGACUCCUACGGGAGGCAGCAGUGGGGAAUUUUGGACAAUGGGCGCAAGCCUGAUCCAGCAAUGCCGCGUGCGGGAAGAAGGCCUUCGGGUUGUAAACCGCUUUUGGCAGGAACGAAACGGUGUCCGCUAAUACCGGGCGCUAAUGACGGUACCUGCAGAAUAAGCACCGGCUAACUACGUG